rnacentral:rRNA from 1 species
AGUGAACGCUGGCGGUAGGCCUAACACAUGCAAGUCGAACGGCAGCACAGGAGAGCUUGCUCUCUGGGUGGCGAGUGGCGGACGGGUGAGGAAUACAUCGGAAUCUACUCUGUCGUGGGGGAUAACGUAGGGAAACUUACGCUAAUACCGCAUACGACCUACGGGUGAAAGCAGGGGAUCUUCGGACCUUGCGCGAUUGAAUGAGCCGGGGUCGGAUUAGCUAGUUGGCGGGGUAAAGGCCCACCAAGGCGACGAUCCGUAGCUGGUCUGAGAGGAUGAUCAGCCACACUGGAACUGAGACACGGUCCAGACCCCUACGGGAGGCAGCAGUGGGGAAUAUUGGACAAUGGGCGCAAGCCUGAUCCAGCCAUACCGCGUGGGUGAAGAAGGCCUUCGGGUUGUAAAGCCCUUUUGUUGGGAAAGAAAUCCAGCUGGCUAAUACCCGGUUGGGAUGACGGUACCCAAAGAAUAAGCACCGGCUAACUUCGUGCCAGCCGCCGCGGUAA